ensembl:snRNA
GUGUUGUAUAAAAGGAAAGAAGGUUAGCAUUCUCCUCUAGAAGGAUUGAGAGGCCCGUGGGCCUGAUAACAUGCAUAUAGUCACAGCAUUGCCACUUAGGCGUCUAACUGCCAUUGUUC